GACGAACGCUGGCGGCGUGCCUAAUACAUGCAAGUAGAACGCUGAAGGAGGAGCUUGCUUCUCUGGAUGAGUUGCGAACGGGUGAGUAACGCGUAGGUAACCUGCCUGGUAGCGGGGGAUAACUAUUGGAAACGAUAGCUAAUACCGCAUAAUAGUAGAUGUCGCAUGACAUUUGCUUAAAAGGUGCACUUGCAUCACUACCAGAUGGACCUGCGUUGUAUUAGCUAGUUGGUGAGGUAACGGCUCACCAAGGCAACGAUACAUAGCCGACCUGAGAGGAUGAUCGGCCACACUGGGACUGAGACACGGCCCAGACUCCUACGGGAGGCAGCAGUAGGGAAUCUUCGGCAAUAGACGGAAGUCUGACCGAGCAACGCCGCGUGAGUGAAGAAGGUUUUCGGAUCGUAAAGCUCUGUUGUAAGAGAAGAACGAGUGUGAGAGUGGAAAGUUCACACUGUGACGGUAUCUUACCAGAAAGGGACGGCUAACUACGUG
rnacentral:rRNA from 1 species